UACGAAGGGGGCUAGCGUUGCUCGGAAUCACUGGGUGUAAAGCGCACGUAGGCGGCUUUUUAAGUCAGGGGUGAAAUCCUGGAGCUCAACUCCAGAACUGCCUUUGAUACUGAGAAGCUUGAGUCCGGGAGAGGUGAGUGGAACUGCGAGUGUAGAGGUGAAAUUCGUAGAUAUUCGCAAGAACACCAGUGGCGAAGGCGGCUCACUGGCCCGGUACUGACGCUGAGGUGCGAAAGCGUGGGGAGCAAACAGG
rnacentral:rRNA from 1 species